rnacentral:rRNA from 1 species
CGAUGAAGGGCGUGCUAAUCUGCGAUAAGCGCCGGUAAGGUGAUAUGAACCGUUAUAACCGGCGAUACCCGAAUGGGGAAACCCAGUGUGAUUCGUCACACUAUCAUUAACUGAAUCCAUAGGUUAAUGAGGCGAACCGGGGGAACUGAAACAUCUAAGUACCCCGAGGAAAAGAAAUCAACCGAGAUUCCCCCAGUAGCGGCGAGCGAACGGGGAGGAGCCCAGAGCCUGAAUCAGCAUGUGUGUUAGUGGAAGCGUCUGGAAAGGCGCGCGAUACAGGGUGACAGCCCCGUACACAAAAGCGCAUGUGCUGUGAGCUCGAUGAGUAGGGCGGGACACGUGGUAUCCUGUCUGAAUAUGGGGGGACCAUCCUCCAAGGCUAAAUACUCCUGACUGACCGAUAGUGAACCAGUACCGUGAGGGAAAGGCGAAAAGAACCCCGGCGAGGGGAGUGAAAAAGAACCUGAAACCGUGUACGUACAAGCAGUGGGAGCACCCUUUGGGUGUGACUGCGUACCUUUUGUAUAAUGGGUCAGCGACUUAUAUUCUGUAGCAAGGUUAACCGAAUAGGGGAGCCGGAGGGAAACCGAGUCUUAACCGGGCGUUAAGUUGCAGGGUAUAGACCCGAAACCCGGUGAUCUAGCCAUGGGCAGGUUGAAGGUUGGGUAACACUAACUGGAGGACCGAACCGACUAAUGUUGAAAAAUUAGCGGAUGACCUGUGGCUGGGGGUGAAAGGCCAAUCAAACCGGGAGAUAGCUGGUUCUCCCCGAAAGCUAUUUAGGUAGCGCCUCGUGAAUUCAUCUCCGGGGGUAGAGCACUGUUUCGGCUAGGGGGCCAUCCCGGCUUACCAACCCGAUGCAAACUGCGAAUACCGGAGAAUGUUAUCACGGGAGACACACGGCGGGUGCUAACGUCCGUCGUGAAGAGGGAAACAACCCAGACCGCCAGCUAAGGUCCCAAAGUCAUGGUUAAGUGGGAAACGAUGUGGGAAGGCCCAGACAGCCAGGAUGUUGGCUUAGAAGCAGCCAUCAUUUAAAGAAAGCGUAAUAGCUCACUGGUCGAGUCGGCCUGCGCGGAAGAUGUAACGGGGCUAAACCAUGCACCGAAGCUGCGGCAGCGACACUGUGUGUUGUUGGGUAGGGGAGCGUUCUGUAAGCCUGUGAAGGUGUGUCGUGAGGCAUGCUGGAGGUAUCAGAAGUGCGAAUGCUGACAUAAGUAACGAUAAAGCGGGUGAAAAGCCCGCUCGCCGGAAGACCAAGGGUUCCUGUCCAACGUUAAUCGGGGCAGGGUGAGUCGACCCCUAAGGCGAGGCCGAAAGGCGUAGUCGAUGGGAAACGGGUUAAUAUUCCCGUACUUGGUGUUACUGCGAAGGGGGGACGGAGAAGGCUAUGUUGGCCGGGCGACGGUUGUCCCGGUUUAAGCGUGUAGGUGUGUGUUCCAGGUAAAUCCGGUUCACUUUAACACUGAGGCGUGACGACGAGGCACUACGGUGCUGAAGCAACAAAUGCCCUGCUUCCAGGAAAAGCCUCUAAGCAUCAGGUAACAUCAAAUCGUACCCCAAACCGACACAGGUGGUCAGGUAGAGAAUACCAAGGCGCUUGAGAGAACUCGGGUGAAGGAACUAGGCAAAAUGGUGCCGUAACUUCGGGAGAAGGCACGCUGACACGUAGGUGAAGUGAUUUACUCAUGGAGCUGAAGUCAGUCGAAGAUACCAGCUGGCUGCAACUGUUUAUUAAAAACACAGCACUGUGCAAACACGAAAGUGGACGUAUACGGUGUGACGCCUGCCCGGUGCCGGAAGGUUAAUUGAUGGGGUCAGCGCAAGCGAAGCUCCUGAUCGAAGCCCCGGUAAACGGCGGCCGUAACUAUAACGGUCCUAAGGUAGCGAAAUUCCUUGUCGGGUAAGUUCCGACCUGCACGAAUGGCGUAAUGAUGGCCAGGCUGUCUCCACCCGAGACUCAGUGAAAUUGAACUCGCUGUGAAGAUGCAGUGUACCCGCGGCAAGACGGAAAGACCCCGUGAACCUUUACUAUAGCUUGACACUGAACAUUGAGCCUUGAUGUGUAGGAUAGGUGGGAGGCUUUGAAGUGUGGACGCCAGUCUGCAUGGAGCCGACCUUGAAAUACCACCCUUUAAUGUUUGAUGUUCUAACGUGGACCCGUUACCCGGGUUGCGGACAGUGUCUGGUGGGUAGUUUGACUGGGGCGGUCUCCUCCUAAAGAGUAACGGAGGAGCACGAAGGUUGGCUAAUCCUGGUCGGACAUCAGGAGGUUAGUGCAAUGGCAUAAGCCAGCUUGACUGCGAGCGUGACGGCGCGAGCAGGUGCGAAAGCAGGUCAUAGUGAUCCGGUGGUUCUGAAUGGAAGGGCCAUCGCUCAACGGAUAAAAGGUACUCCGGGGAUAACAGGCUGAUACCGCCCAAGAGUUCAUAUCGACGGCGGUGUUUGGCACCUCGAUGUCGGCUCAUCACAUCCUGGGGCUGAAGUAGGUCCCAAGGGUAUGGCUGUUCGCCAUUUAAAGUGGUACGCGAGCUGGGUUUAGAACGUCGUGAGACAGUUCGGUCCCUAUCUGCCGUGGGCGCUGGAGAACUGAGGGGGGCUGCUCCUAGUACGAGAGGACCGGAGUGGACGCAUCACUGGUGUUCGGGUUGUCAUGCCAAUGGCACUGCCCGGUAGCUAAAUGCGGAAGAGAUAAGUGCUGAAAGCAUCUAAGCACGAAACUUGCCCCGA